AAGCGUUGUCCGGGAAUUAUUGGGGCGUAAAGGGCUCGCAGGCGGUUUCUUAAGUCUGAUGUGAAAGCCCCCGGCUCAACCGGGGAGGGUCAUUGGAAACUGGGAAACUUGAGUGCAGAAGAGGAGAGUGGAAUUCCACGUGUAGCGGUGAAAUGCGUAGAGAUGUGGAGGAACACCAGUGGCGAAGGCGACUCUCUGGUCUGUAACUGACGCUGAGGAGCGAAAGCGUGGGGAGCGAACAGGAUUAGAUACCCUGGUAGUCCACGCCGUAAACGAUGAGUGCUAAGUGUUAGGGGGUUUCCGCCCCUUAGUGCUGCAGCUAACGCAUUAAGCACUCCGCCUGGGGAGUACGGUCGCAAGACUGAAACUCAAAGGAAUUGACGGGGGCCCGCACAAGCGGUGGAGCAUGUGGUUUAAUUCGAAGCAACGCGAAGAACCUUACCAGGUCUUGACAUCCUCUGACAACCCUAGAGAUAGGGCUUUCCCUUCGGGGACAGAGUGACAGGUGGUGCAUGGUUGUCGUCAGCUCGUGUCGUGAGAUGUUGGGUUAAGUCCCGCAACGAGCGCAACCCUUGAUCUUAGUUGCCAGCAUUCAGUUGGGCACUCUAAGGUGACUGCCGGUGACAAACCGGAGGAAGGUGGGGAUGACGUCAAA
rnacentral:rRNA from 2 species